GAAACUAUAAGCAUCUAUUUGAUAUUGAUAGUACAGAAAGAUGUCAGCUGAGUUUAAUAUUAAGAUAAUAUUAAUAUUAAGAUAUAUUGAAUAAAUCAACACUGGACUAUCAAGCUUCCAAAUGCAAAGACUUGGACCUUUAUGUAGGGAACAUGGUACUCUGGCUCCUGAUGAAUUCUUCUUCCAGAGAAAUGGUAAUUUGAAGGGUCAUUUUGUUGGAAAAAAAAAAACAGAUAAGGCAUGUGUUAUGAAGAUAUUGCACAAAGUUAUAUCAAGACUAGGAAAGUAAACAUCAAAAUGAUACUAAAUCAUAACUGCACUUGUUCCCAUUUCUAUAAUGGUAGAAACUAUGCUCAACCUUAAACAGAAGAAAAACAAGCAGAGAAAUACUGCUCUAAGUGAAACACAAUAGUUUUUUUAUUAUCUAUUGAUCACAUUUUGACCUCAUUGCUCUCUGGCACAAUCAUUAGUUUCAGUGAGCUACAUCAGUACAAAGAAAGUUUAAACUAUACCUUGUAUUGUUCUGUGAAUACUAGGAUAAAACAUUCAACACAGAAAUAUCUUAUUUUACUUAACUUUUUUUUCUUUUUUUUUUUAAUAUAUAUACUGAAAGAAUACUUGCUUCAUAUAUCACAUCAUAUAAAAGAGAUAUUUUAAACACUUUUAUGUUCAUUUAUAUAUUUCAGAUGUAUUGGGAACCUCUUUAUGUUUCAUUUUAGGUUUAUACUUAAGACCUUAUGAAUGAUCAUUGGUCUCCUGUUCUAUAAGAAGAUGUGGAAUGAUAAAAGAGUAUAUCAUGAUAUUUCAUCUCUGUGGUCUUUACCAUUUCUUACCACCCACAAGGACCGAGGCUACUUUCAGAGCUCCAGCAAUAUCACCUCCAGGUCAUUUGAGCAUUACAGAAGUCUGAAGGCUUAAGCCCACAUUAUGAACCAAAAUGAUCUUCCAGACAAUGAUUCUCUAAAUGACUCCCUGGAUUCCUGAGGUCUCCUCGUGUAUAUAUAGUCAACUUGUAAUCUUGACAUACUAACACAAAGACUGUGCAAUCCUCCUAUCUGGUGGUUCUGCCCCUGCCUCCGUCCUUGCUGAAGUGGCUUUCAAGAGAUGUGUGGGAUGCUGAGGUACCAAGUACCAGGCACAGUGGAGAACGUACCUGGUGUCUGCCUGGGCACAGCAAAGCAGUCUGUAUAGCAAGCAAGUGGUCUGUGGGAUGACAUUUGUCACUGGCAUUCCUUUGGUUGUGGAUAAGAUUGUGGUCAUUAGGAUACAGAGAAAAUGGGUCAUAAAAUAAGCUAAGAAUGAGUCUGUGAAAGCAUAGGUGUGGGAGGAGAGAGAGGAAAAGUUGUAUGAUUUUAUUUGUAUUCUUUGGAAACAGACAUUCACCUUAAUAUCAAAGCUCAAAGCUUUCAGACCCACUUAUAUGAUUUUCAUUACUUUUUAAAAAAUAAGCAAAUAAUUCCUAGGGCUUAUUGAAAAAAAAAUGUCAAGAGAACAAUAUCAUGACAGAAAAUAUUGUUUUGUCUAAAUGAAAAUGUUUUGUCAGAGCAGAUUUUCUGAUUUUAUGAGUUUCAGAGCAAUUAUUUUUGACUUUCUCAUUUGAAACUUUCUCUUUUCACUCUACCAAUGUCAAAAUAUUUCAUUCUGGUAUUGCUAAAAUGUUUCCUUGGGUAUAUUGUAUUGCAAUGUUUUGUCACUAUGAAAUAUAUCCAAAUGGUAGCUAAGAAAAACAUUUUGGUAAUGUCACUGCAAUGGUUUCAUAUAAACACCUUUUAAAUUUUCCACUGCAUGAAACAAUUAGUUAUAUUUUUUUAGCAUAGUUUGAGACUAAAACAGUAAAAUUUUAGAAUUUCACAUCAUAUCCAAAAAGCAUUUAAAACUAAUGCUAUAAAUUAUUUAAAAUUAAUUUAAAAUGAAUUCAAAUAAAGCAAUAUUUGAGUGGAUUUAGGUUGUGGUU
rnacentral:lncRNA from 1 species